rnacentral:misc_RNA from 1 species
GAUGAAGAACGUAGCGAAAUGCGAUAAGUAGUGUGAAUUGCAGAAUUCAGUGAAUCAUCGAGUCUUUGAACGCACAUUGCGCCCCUUGGUAUUCCAUGGGGCAUGCCUGUUCGAGCGUCAUUUGUACCUUCAAGCUUUGCUUGGUGUUGGGUGUUUGUCCCUCGGGACUCGCCUUAAAGUCAUUGGCAGCCAGUGUUUUGGUUUUGAAGCGCAGCACAAGUCGCGAUUCAAGGCUAUCCGCCCGCUUCCACAAGCCUUUUUCACUUUUGACCUCGGAUCAGGUAGGGAUACCCGCUGAACUUAAGCAUAUCAAUAAGCGGAGGA